AAUUCUGGUUGAUCCUGCCAGAGGUUACUGCUAUCGAGGUUCGACUAAGCCAUGCGAGUCGAA
rnacentral:rRNA from 1 species